GACAGAGGAGCCAAGCGUUGUCCGGACUGACUGGGCGUAAAGCGCACGCAGGCGGUCGCGCAAGUGUCGUGUGAAAGCCCUCGGCUUAACCGAGGGAGGCCAUGGCAGACUGUGCGACUAGAGCCGUGCAGAGGUCGGUGGAAUUGCCGGUGUAGUGGUGAAAUGCGUAGAGAUCGGCAGGAACACCCAGGGGGAAGCCAACCGACUGGGCACGUGCUGACGCUGAGGUGCGACAGCGUGGGGAGCGAACCGG
rnacentral:rRNA from 1 species